rnacentral:lncRNA from 1 species
CUAUCUUAGAACGGAUCACCAGUGAAAGAGGGGAAGUUGCUACUGUGAUGAAUUCUGCCAUGUGGUACCAGACUGCUGCCCAGACCACAGUGUCCUCUGCAACCCUGCUUCUCAGAUGACCAAGAUGGUGCUGCCGAUGGUGUUGAGGACGGAGAACCCACCAAGCCCCGUUAGGAGCCACCUAGACUGGAUGCAGAGCACAAAGGAAGGCAAGAUUUCCUGGGUCCGUGAUGAUGGAAGGCUGACAACUCUUUUAUGGAUUUUGAGCUUGCUCCCAGUAGGGAAGACAAGUUCAAGUUUUUUUCCUGCUUCAAGGAUGGUGGAGAGCAGUCUUCAGCCUGAGACCCAUCCCUAGGCCUCAGCACCCGCAGAGCAGACACUGCGAUAACAACGGAGGACACAGAAGUGCCCGCUAUGACUCCAGCACCAGGCCACGCCGCUCUGGAAACUCAAACGCUGAGCGCUGAGACCUCUUCUAGGGCCUCAACCCCAGCCGGCCCCAUUCCAGAAGCAGAGACCAGAGAAGCCAAGAGAAUUUCCCCUGCAAGAGAGACCAGGACUUUCACAAAAACACCUCCCGACUUCAGGGUGCUGAUCGCCACCUCUGUGGAGACAUCAGCCGCCAGUGGCAGCCCCGAGGGAGCUGGAAUGACCACAGUUCAGACUGUCACAGGCAGUGAUCCAGAGGAAGCCAUCUC